rnacentral:rRNA from 1 species
CGAUAACGAACGAGACCUUAACCUGCUAAAUAGUUAGGCCAACGUUUGUUGGUCGUCAACUUCUUAGAGGGACUAUUGACUAUUAGUCAAUGGAAGUUUGAGGCAAUAACAGGUCUGUGAUGCCCUUAGAUGUUCUGGGCCGCACGCGCGCUACACUGAUCAAGUCAACGAGUUUACAACCUUGGCCGGAAGGUCUGGGUAAUCUUUUGAAACUUGAUCGUGCUGGGGAUAGUCCAUUGCGAUUAUUGGACUUCAACGAGGAAUUCCUGGUAAGCGUGAGUCAUCAGCUCGCGUUGAUUACGUCCCUGCCCUUUGUACACACCGCCCGUCGCUACUACCGAUUGAAUGGCU